UAUCCUGGAAGACAGCUCCUAAGUCCAUAAAACAGUGAUGACAACCUAUCACCAAGAAUCCCUCACAAAUGUUUGUUAAUUGUUUUCUGACACACAAAGCCAGGAGAGAACAAAGACCCAGGGAAGGCACUUCCCCGGCAGUGAUUUAUGGUGUGUUAUAGAGCCCCACCCAAAUACCUGCAGCCAGAGAGAUGAGCACUUAGAGCUGACAACAACCACAACCUCCAGGCAAUGAGUCUUCAGGGAUAACCAGAGCUAGAAUGCAGCCAAACUUCCUCAACUUUCAAAGGUGCUAGAAUUUGGGGUGUUCUUUAUUGGUGCCCCAUGUUAUCCAGGAGAAAAAUGACACCUCACUCAUUCUAAGAAAUCCACUAAGUCUGAUAUGAAACAUACAGAGGCAUAAGCACUGCCAGGACCUCUGCUGAAGAAUACUGAAUUAAGAUAGUCAAUGGGACUAAAAAGGCAGCUGUACAUAUGAAAAUGAAAAUCACUACACUGAUCUGCCACUUAAAUGGAAGAUAACUCCAAGAAGGCACUUCAUCCAUGAAGAUAAUGAGCCUAGGGGAUUGGUCGUGAGAAACCUUUCAAGACGGAGGCUAGGACUGUGCUUGGGAUUAGCUGCUUGCCCUCCUGCAAGAGCUUGCCUGACUCCUCAAGGAGCUGUAAAUCAAGCUGCCGAUGAGUAACCACUUUCUGCCAAGCACCUGAGGAACCUGAGAAGACCAUAUGGGCUGUGAAAAUGACAAUAUGCACAUCAAGCGCUGUUUGUGUUCGCUGUGAGAAAACAGGUCAGUGCGGGCUGACAUCAAAGUCAGCAUGAUGAAGGCUGCAGGAAAAAUGCAAGCUGCACAUUUCCCCUGAGAGGAAGGAGGCCAGGCAGGGGCAGGUAACUCCCCACCCCUCCACUCCCCACUGCAUCAGUAGCGCUCUCUCACUGGAGCAACCCACUGCCAAAACAUAAUCUACAUGGAGAGCUUUGACUUUUCCUUCUCUUCAUCCUCACCUAGG
rnacentral:lncRNA from 1 species